UCCUGGCGACUAUAGCGAUUUGGAACCACCUGAUACCAUCUCGAACUCAGAAGUGAAACAUUUCCGCGCCAAUGAUAGUGUGAGGCUUCCUC
rnacentral:rRNA from 1 species